rnacentral:rRNA from 1 species
UAAGUGGAUGAUGCCAUGCUUCCAAGAAAAGUCCCUAAGCUUCAGGUUAGUGUUGACCGUACCCCAAACCGACACAGGUGGGUAGGAUGAGAAUUCCAAGGCGCUUGAGAGAACUCGGAUGAAGGAACUAGGCAAAAUGGUACCGUAACUUCGGGAGAAGGUACGCCCACGCAAGUGGGCCGCAGAGACCAGGCCGCUGCUACUGUUUAUCAAAAACACAGCACUCUGCAAACUCGAAAGAGGACGUAUAGGGUGUGACGCCUGCCCGGUGCCGGAAGGUUAAUUGAUGGGGUUAGCGCAAGCGAAGCUCUUGAUCGAAGCCCCGGUAAACGGCGGCCGUAACGAUAACGGUCCUAAGGUAGCGAAAUUCCUUGUCGGGUAAGUUCCGACCUGCACGAAUGGCGUAACGAUGGCGGCACUGUCUCCAUCCGAGACUCAGUGAAAUUGAAAUCGCUGUGAGGAUGCAGUGUACCCGCGGCUAGACGGAAAGACCCCGUGAACCUUUACUAUAGCUUUGUAUUGAACUUUGAACCUACUUGUGUAGGAUAGGUGGGAGACUAUGAAACUGGAACGCUAGUUCUGGUGGAGUCGUCCUUGAAAUACCACCCUGGUAUGUUCGGAGUUCUAACCCAGGCAUCACAAUGCCGGGGACAAUACAUGGUGGGUAGUUUGACUGGGGCGGUCUCCUCCUAAAGAGUAACGGAGGAGCGCGAAGGUGUGCUAAUCACGGUCGGAAAUCGUGAGGUUUGUGUAAAGGCAUAAGCACGCUUGACUGCGAGACAGACAAGUCGAGCAGGUACGAAAGUAGGUCUUAGUGAUCCGGUGGCUCUGAAUGGAAGGGCCAUCGCUCAACGGAUAAAAGGUACUCCGGGGAUAACAGGCUGAUUCCUCCCAAGAGUCCAUAUCGACGGGGGAGUUUGGCACCUCGAUGUCGGCUCAUCACAUCCUGGGGCUGAAGCAGGUCCCAAGGGUAUGGCUGUUCGCCAUUUAAAGUGGUACGCGAGCUGGGUUCAGAACGUCGUGAGACAGUUCGGUUCCUAUCUGCCGUGGGCGUUGGAGAUUUGAGGGAAGCUGACCUUAGUACGAGAGGACCGGGUUGGACGAACCUCUGGUGUUCCUGUUGUCACGCCAGUGGCAUUGCAGGGUAGCUAUGUUCGGACGGGAUAACCGCUGAAAGCAUCUAAGCGGGAAGCCCCUCCCAAGAUGAGAUCUCCCUGACCCCUUGAGGGUCCUAAAGGGCCGUUGGAGACUACGACGUUGAUAGGCUGGGUGUGGAAGUGCAGUAAUGUAUGUAGCUAACCAGUACUAAUUGCCCGUGAGGCUUGAUUC